AAGAUGUUCAGAGUUGAGUUUCCCUCGGUUGAGGACCUGCAGAGGAUGCUGAGUUUUGGGAUGUGUAAUGUUCCGGGAACUGAUGGCAUCCUUGAGUUCCACGAAUGGAAGCUGGUGGAGCCUCAGGGUGCGCCGCUUACUCAGGCGUGGUUGCGUUUUUCCGGGGCCCCAUCCAAGCCUUUGCAGGAUGCUCGUGUUGUGGCCAGCUUGGGUAUUUUGAUUGGGAAGCCUGAGCGAGUGGAUAUGACGUUCACCAGAGCUCAUGGGAUUGCUCGGGUUUUGGUUAGUAUUCUGAACGUUGAGUAUGUGCCGGAGGUGGUUAACUGGGCUUACCAAGGCAGGAUCUAUGAUUUGGUUAUUGAGUUUGAGGAUGAGAGCCUUUUGGUUGCGGCGUCGCACGGGUCCGAUGUGGAUAUGCACGAGGGUGACGGCAUCGCAGGAGCGAGGGAGCCGCCGGUCGAGGAGUCUGGACGACAGAUGUCCAAGGGACCGGGGCCCGACACUGCGAUGACCGAGAAGGGAGCGGAGCCACCCUCCUCGCCGCCUGUGACAUCACUGAGAUUUGGGUCUUUUGAGCCCGCUUCUGCACCCCCG
rnacentral:rRNA from 1 species